rnacentral:rRNA from 1 species
AACACAUGCAAGUCGAGCGCCUCGCAAGAGGAGCGGCAGACGGGUGAGUAACGCGUGGGAAUCUACCCAGCUCUACGGAAUAACUCAGGGAAACUUGUGCUAAUACCGUAUACGUCCGAUAGGAGAAAGAUUUAUCGGAGUUGGAUGAGCCCGCGUUGGAUUAGCUAGUUGGUGGGGUAAUGGCCUACCAAGGCGACGAUCCAUAGCUGGUCUGAGAGGAUGAUCAGCCACACUGGGACUGAGACACGGCCCAGACUCCUACGGGAGGCAGCAGUGGGGAAUAUUGGACAAUGGGCGCAAGCCUGAUCCAGCCAUGCCGCGUGAGUGAUGAAGGCCCUAGGGUUGUAAAGCUCUUUCAACGGUGAAGAUAAUGACGGUAACCGUAGAAGAAG